UUGGGUGCAUGUGAUGCUGCAGAGUGAACUCAGGGCUUAGUGAAUGUGAGCAAGCACUCAACUGGGAAACACACACCCCUUCCAGCCCCCUCUGGUUCUGAUGAGAGGUUUUAUUACAUUUGUAAUCAUGCAAUACCUUUAUAUGGCUCUAAAUUUAAAAGGGCUCUACUAUACCUUUAUGGAAGUAUCAUUCUAUCUCUGAUCCCUUCGUUUCAUUCCCUGUGGUCCUCGUAAAUACUAUUUCUUUUUAAGUUUGACCUAUGGUUCCAGGAUUUCCUUUUUUUUUUUUUGAAACUAUAUGUAUACAUACAUGAAAUUCAUUAGUUAUAUUCUUUUCCUAUAUAAAUACUGGUCUGAAGCUUGCUCUUUUGAUUUUAACGAUAUGUCCUAUAUAUAAUUCUAUACCCAUAUAAAAGCUAUUCUUUUGCCUUCUUACAGUUACACGAUACUGUAUGUGUAUGUAUAAUAGUUAUUUAGAUAUUUUGCUAUGAACAAACCCUGAAAUAUUGGUUUUAUAUCUGAAGUCUUAUGCUGUUUUGAACUAUGCCCUGAAAUUAGCCUUGUGGUUUUUUUAUGUGUGUCACACACACACACACACACACACACAUAAUUUGGUAUUUUUCAAGAACUUCUUUCAAAUAAAUUCUAAAAGGUGAAAUUGCUGAGACAAAGAGUAAAUGUUUGUGUACUUCUAAUAAACAAAUUCCAUCCUGAGGUAAUUGUACUUUUCUGUAUUUCUACCAGCAAUGUAUAAGAGUAGUUAUCUCUUAAGAUACACAACGUGAAUUCAAGAAAGAGUAGCCAUGAAUGAGAGAGAGAGAGAGAGAGAGAGAGAGAGAGAGAGAGAGAGAGGAAGAGCGAGAGAGAGCACAAAGGGGAAAUACAUGCGAGGAGCUAGAAGAAAAGCAAGGGGGAAAAUAUAUAUUUUAAUUUCAAAAGUAAAAUAUUUUAUUUUUAAAAGGGUACAAAAGGUGUAGUCAUUUAGAAAAUGAUGACUCAAUUUAUGAAUACAGCUGCAUUAAAAUAAAAAAUUCCUGAUCAUAGGAUGUGUCAUAAAAUACAUCAACAAUAUGACUCAGUGGGUAAAGGCCACUUCCACAAAACCUGGGGACCUGAGUUCAAUCCUGUGGCCCACAUGUGGAAGGAGAGAACUAAUUCCUCCAAAGACGCCCUCUGACUUCCACACAUACGCUGUGGCACAAGGCAUCCAAUAAGCAAAAGAAUCAUGAGUAGAUAGAAAAACCAUGGGAUAAGAUGGUUACUACACAGAUAAUUAGAGAGUGCAUCUACUGGAUGUAUGAAAUUGCAUAUAUCCUUAAGAAACAGAGGUAGGCAACCAAGGGGAAAUUGAGCAAAAGACUGAUGAGUCUUCCCUAAAAAGAGGGAAAAUAUGUAACUAAUAGAUAUAUUAAAAGUGUUUAAUCACAUUAGAGUUUGAAAUGAGCUUGCAUUAGAGGUGAAAUCCAAGUCAGAUGAGGAGGGCAAUCCAUAGGAUUUAAAAAUCCUGAUGUUUGAAAAUAUGUAACUGCAUGACCAUUCUAAAGUAUAUAAUCAGAGACUUAUACCAUGACCACUAUAAGCCAGGCACUAUUCUGGGUUCUCAGGUGAUAUCAAUGAGCAAAGACCCUAGGAACUUAGAGAUGGCUGGAACCAAUAGAGGGACACGGAUCUCUGUGAGUUUGAGGCCUGAUUUAUACAGUGAGUUUCAGACUAGCCGAAGCUUCAGAAUAAGACCAUGUCUGAAACAAAACCAACCAACAAACAACCCCAACCAAACAAAUAAGCAAAACCGGUGGCGCUUCCUUGGUGCUUAACACCACACAAAUUGGAUCCUGCCAACCUCAUCUCCAAGUCUGUGUGCUGCCGUCUGCAAAAACUUAAGAGAAGAGAAAGAGACUGAAGUGAAAAGGUGAAGGCAUGAGCCCUCGUGGAAAUCAGAGGGAUGACUCCAUAGGAACACGGUGGAGAACUUCCAGUCAGCGAGCGAGCGAGGAAAUCUAUGUUGAGUGACAACUUUAUAAACAUAACAAUUAGCAACACAAUCCCAAAAGACAAUGACUUACUAAACGGUAACAAGAGGCGGAAUUAGUAAUCAGCUAGCUAUCCUAAAAAACCACUCAGGUUCAAUAGGACUCAUUGGUGAAUUCUAUCAAAUAUUCACCUAGUCUUCAGUACCAUUUUAACGACUUCAUCUUAGGACUUCUGACCUCUAGAUCUGUACUAGAAGAAACCUAUGUUGCUUUAGGCUAUCAGAUGUGUGGUAAUUAAUUAUAAUAACCGUAAGAAAGUAAUGUACUGCAACAGAGCUGGCAUAGAAAACCUAGCGCUAAGAUGAAUGGCUUAAAAAACAUGUUUCUCCCUGAAGAGAGCAUUUGCUGCUUUUCCAGAGAAGUUGAGUGUGAUUUAUAGCAAAGAAUGAAUAGUAAUAUUACAUUAAAAGAAGAUUAGGGAUAAAGCAAGAACACUGGGUCACAUUACUUCCAUUCAACAAUGUACUGAAGGUUCUGGAAAACAGAAGGAAAAGCAAGUAAACAACAAGGUUCCAGACAAGAGAACAAGUAAAACUGUCUUUAUUCAUAGGAAACACCGUGUUUCUUGUGUAGAAGACGCCAAGCUAUCCAUACUAAAACCACUAGAAUAAAAUAAUCAAUAGAACAUUUAAUUAGAUCAUGUUAGAUGAAUAUAAGGUGAAAACAAAACCCAGCAUCUCUCUAUAUACUUGCAGACAAGAAUAAACAAAAGCAGAACAAUUUUAUUUACAAGAGUGUCAAAAUGAAUAAAAUGUUUAAAAAUAAAUUUCAUAGAAGUAUAGGUCUGAUGCACUAUAAUAUAUACAAUAUAAUAUUACUUAUUAUAUAAUAUAUAAAAUAUAAAUAUAUAUAUUAUAUAUAAAAUAAUGCUGAACGAAAUUAUAGCUGAUCUGAAUAAAGGAAGAGACACUGUGUGUUCAUGUGCUAGGAGAAACUGUCACUAAAUGAAAUGACAGACUCAAUCCAAUCUCCUUUAAAUUUCAGCAUUUAUGUAGAAAAAUCAACAAAGAGUUGACAAAAUUUGCAUGGAUAUAUAAGAACUAGGAGAGAAGAAACAAAGUCGGAAGAGUUACUCUUUCUUGAUUGCCAAACUCGCUAUAAAGGUCCACUAGGGAUUUGACACAUAAAGACAUAAAUAUAGAUCAAAGCAACAAAACCAUACAAAGAAAUUUAAGAUACAGUGUUAAUCAAUAGGAAAUCUUCAUAUAAAAUUAAGAACCUAGAUCAUACCUUAGAAACACAAAUUUCCAUGCAUAAAGACAGUACGUAUUCUAGAAGAAGACAUAGAACUAUUUUUCUUUACUUUGAUUCCGGGAAAGAUUUCUUAGUUAAGAUACCAAAAAGCUUAAAUACUAACAGAAUAAAUUUCUAAAUUGGACCUCAUUAAGACAUCUGUGCUUUAAGACACAAUUAAGAACAUAAGAAAAGAUCAGAAGCAAGCAUUAUACUUAUAAAGGACCUGCCUUCAGAAGACACAAAGAAAUCUUACUAUAUAAUACUAAAACUACCCAUACUCCACCAAUUUAAAACUGGACAAAAGUCUCAAAUUCCACUGAAGAAUUUCUUUUUGUUACUGGGUAAGUGCAUAGAAUAUGCUGGGCAGUG
rnacentral:lncRNA from 1 species